AUUCUGCUGUAUCACUUUCACCCAUGAAUGUAUUCUGUGCUUUCAACCAGGAACUAUCCAUCUCUUUCAGAUCAGUGGUUAUAAGGAAUCGGACAGAGAGGGAAAUAAGUCUUAGGACAUCAUUUCCACAACAUUUUCCUGUUACCUUGGUUUGACUGUGGCAAUAUCCUGUAUAUUAUUCACAGCGACCAAUACUCAUUUCAUCGCAGCUGGUAAACCCUGCCUAUAUUUCCCCUCUGUGCCCAUCUUUCCCCUCCCAUUUUCUAUGAAUAUUUUAUAGCCAUCUCCUGUCCAGUAUAGAGGAGGAACAUCCUCUAUAGCACAGCCUGUCAGCUGUGUUUUAUUAGAGGGCUGAAAUACUGCUGAAUCAGAGGUUCCACCUCUCCUCCCUCUUUAACAAUCAACUCUGUAUGUGUGUAUGCAUGCAUUCCUGUGUGUGUGUCUGUGUGUGCACGACUGUGUGUGUUCUGUUUUCAGAAAUAAUGCAACAUGUCAUGCGUAACCUCCUUUAAGAGGGUAGCCGUACAUGAGAAUGACUGUAGCAUGCAGUACAGCACCUGACUGGAUCUCAGCUAGUGGUGUAGGGAAGAAUGCUGCCUAUUGUGUUAUCACACUGGUUUAGGUGAAUCAAAAUCUAAUCACUCUAAUGUGUCCCAGGUCAGGGUCUUAAAUCACUCACACAGGCUAAGUUCACCUUCCUAAAUCUGUCAUUAAGAGAGAGGGAGGUUCUAAGAGUCCAAAGGCAAUUUCUCUGAUUGGCCAGAUGAGUCAUUGCACCUAUUGGCCCUGCCUUCAACGUCUCUCAUUGGUCGUGCAGUUUUACAGCUGACUCUCAUUGGGCCAGUAGGAGAGAGUGGGCCGGGUCUUACUCUUGUUCUCUGUGUUUGAGUGUCUGUGGAUGGGUAAGACACUCUCUCUCCCAUCCUGGGAGUAACUGCUUGUGUUAGUUCCUGUCUGUAGGCUGUGUGAGUGUGUGUUUGGGUGUGUGUGUGAGAGAGAGAAAGGGAGAGAGUAGCGUUUACGUUUCACCUCCCUGUCUCCCUGUUUCCUGUCCUUCCUCUCCUCUCUACUCCUCUCUCGUUCCCUCUCCUGGACUACCCCAUUGGGACCUACCCAGACCCCUUCCCUGCCUGGACCCUCUACUCUCCAUCCCUGUGACUCUCCUCAUCUGUCCAUCCCUCCCUGUCCCAGGUCAAGACGCCUGCUUGCCUGGCCCUUCUUCCUCCAUGCAGACCAUGGCUCUGUCUCCGGGUGGAUUUGAAGUGGAGACGUGGAAUCUUCCAUGUUAUUCUGGAAUGUGGGAUAAGACAGGGUCCCAUGACAUGGA